rnacentral:misc_RNA from 1 species
GAUGAAGAACGCAGCGAAAUGCGAUAAGUAAUGUGAAUUGCAGAAUUCAGUGAAUCAUCGAAUCUUUGAACGCACAUUGCGCCCCUUGGUAUUCCGAGGGGCAUGCCCGUUCGAGCGUCAUUAUACCCCUCAAGCCAAGCUUGGUGUUGGGGCCUGCUGUUACCGGCAGCCCUUAAAAUCAGUGGCGGUGCCAUCUGGCUCUAAGCGUAGUAAUACUUCUCGCUACAGGGUCCCGGUGGAUGCUUGCCAUCAACCCCUAAUUUUCUAUGGUUGACCUCGGAUCGGGUAGGGAUACCCGCUGAACUUAAGCAUAUCAAUAAGCGGAGGA